UACAGAGGUCCCAAGCGUUGUUCGGAUUCACUGGGCGUAAAGGGUGCGUAGGUGGUCGGGUAAGUCUGAUGUGAAAGCUCUGGGCUCAACCCAGAAAUGGCAUUGGAUACUACCUGGCUAGAGGAAUGGAGGGGGGACUGGAAUACUUGGUGUAGCAGUGAAAUGCGUAGAUAUCAAGUGGAACACCAGUGGCGAAGGCGAGUCCCUGGACAUUUCCUGACACUGAGGCACGAAAGCUAGGGGAGCAAACAGG
rnacentral:rRNA from 1 species